GCAUCACAGAUCUGUCUAUCCAGG
rnacentral:siRNA from 1 species